rnacentral:sRNA from 1 species
AAAAAAAAAAGAAAUUUAUGUCAUGUUGGGAGAGUUCUUUUUUAUAACGUAUAAUUCUGUCCUUUUUCUUUUAAAAAGGGUUAAGUUUAGGUUAAUAUGUUGUUUAACUCUAAUUUACUCCAAGCAGGGCUAUAACUGAAUGAAUAUUCUGUUCUUUUUAAACUAAUAUUCAGGUAAAACCACCUCAGCUAAUUGAUUAUCUGCAGCAGAAGAAAACAGAAGGUUAUACCAUCAUUGGAGUGGAACAAACUGCCAAAAGUUUAGACUUAACCCAAUAUUGCUUUCCUGAGAAAUCUCUACUCUUGUUGGGAAAUGAACGUGAGGGAAUUCCAGCAAAUCUGAUCCAGCAGUUGGACGUUUGUGUGGAAAUUCCUCAACAGGGCAUUAUCCGUUCCCUGAACGUCCACGUGAGUGGAGCCCUGCUGAUCUGGGAGUACACCAGGCAGCAGCUGCUCUCA